rnacentral:rRNA from 1 species
CCUACGGGUGACAGCAGUGAGGAAUAUUGGUCAAUGGGCGCGAGCCUGAACCAGCCAAGUAGCGUGAAGGAUGACUGCCCUAUGGGUUGUAAACUUCUUUUAUAAAGGAGUAAAGUGAGGUACGUGUGUCUUUCUGAAAGUAUCUUAUGAAUAAGGAUCGGCUAACUCCGUGCCAGCAGCCGCGGUAAUACGGAGGAUUCAAGCGUUAUCCGGAUUUAUUGGGUUUAAAGGGAGCGUAGGUGGGUGGAUAAGUCAGUGGUGAAAUCUCGAGGCUCAACCGCGGAAUUGCAUGUGAUACUGGCAGGCUAGAGAGCAGUUGAGGUAGGCGGAAUGCGUGGUGUAGCGAUGAAAUGCUUAGAGAUCACGAAGAACACCGAUUGCGAAGGCAGCUUACCAAGCUACCACUGACGUUGAGGCACGAAAGCGUGGGUAUCAAACAGGAUUAGAUACCCGUGUAGUC